CAGCCUAGCGCGCGGAACGGCUGGGGCCGGGGCGCGGAUGCUGGAAGUUCACAUCCCGUCGGUGGGGCCCGAGGCCGAGGGGCCCAGGCAGAGCCCGGAGAAAAGCCACAUGGUGUUCCGAGUGGAGGUGCUGUGCAGCGGGCGCAGACACACGGUGCCGAGGCGCUACAGCGAGUUCCACGCCCUGCACAAGCGGGUGAGGCGGCGCCGACCUCCCACCGGCCCCGGCCCAGCCUCUGUCCAGCCCCUGCCCAGUCCCUGUGAGGCGGGCGGGCGAGCUCCAGCCCCAGCCUCCGCCAUCCCCAUUACUGCCUCAGUCCCUGCGCGGCCGGUCAGCCCCCGAGCCUCUGUGGGUGGGUUGGGGCCUUCCUCGCCCUCGGCCGGUCCACCACUCACCAGGGUCUUACCCAGGGUAGAGCCCGAAGGCGGGGGCGCGGGAGGGCUUCUGGCUCAGGCGAAGAGGGCUUGAGGGCUCAGUCGGGAUGCUGUGAUCGCACGCGGUAAACCUCCAGUAGAUCAAGAAGCUGUACAAAGUGCCCGACUUCCCCUCGAAACGCCUGCCCAACUGGAGGACCAGAGGGUUGGAACAGCGCCGGCAGGGCUUGGAGGCCUACAUCCAGGUAUGAGAGAGCACAGUUGGUUGCCCCCCAGCCUGCUGUGCCAGGGGUGUGGCCCAGACAGAGAGGUGUGGGGGCACGGCAGGGAGGGAACCCACAACUUGGGGAUGUUAUUCACCACCUCAAGCAUCAAUUUUCUGAGAGUAAUAUAGGUCAAUGCUCUGCUGUCAUUGUCGUGAAAUUCUUUUUUUGGAACAAAGAGCCCUGCAUUUUCAUUGGCACUGCGCUAUGCAAAUUAGUAGCUGGGUCUGAUUGCAGGUCUCCUCUGUCCUCUUCAGGGCAUCCUGUACCUGAACCAGGAGGUGCCCAAGGAGUUACUGGAAUUCCUGAGACUUCGGCACUUCCCCACAGACCCCAAGGCUAGCAACUGGGGGUAAGGGGGGCCGGUGGCGGGGGCCUGGGGCUGUCAGCAGUGAGCAGGUGAGGAAAGGUGUGGGAGGGCAGCCCUUUCUUCUCACAUCUGCCAGGAUCCAGCAUGAGCGCCCUCACAAGCUCUCUUGACCUGGGUGGAGGGGCUUUUUUUUGGACAGACUUGGUUACCCCCGCCAACUCCGGAACUGGGGUUUGUUACAAAUAGAAGCAGUGGUCCCCUGGGAGGUGCACUUCUGGGCUCUUGUGUCUCCACCCCUUCCUGACGCUCCUCGGCAUCCCCAGGCAGCUUACAGUGUUUCUCUUCUCUUCAGCACCCUGGGGGAGUUCCUGCCUGGCGACAGCAGGCAAGUCAAAGCCCUAGCCCGCGCCUGGCCCCUGCCGCCCCCUAGUGGUCAUAUGCUAGGAGGCGGGCCUGCUGCCUGGGCCUGUCUGGCCUGGGCCCUGAAGUCUUUCCCUUUGGUGCCUCCUGCGCCCAUUUCCCACUCACCUUUUCCUUCAUGGGUCCCUGGUGAUCUCAACCCCGUCUCCACCCCUCUGUGGGAUUCUGCCCUGCCUCCUGCACCCAUGGUUCAUGAUCCUCUUUCCUCCCAGCUCCCAGCAGCACCAGCGGCCUGUCCUGAGCUUCCAUGUGGAUCCCUAUGUUUGCAACCCCUCCCCAGGUGAGGAGGUGCCUAGAUACGGGGCUACAGGGCUGGGUUGUGGGCUUUGCAUUUCUCAGCUCCUGGGACCCUCAGGCAGCAUCUCCUUCCUGCUGCCCACCUCUGGAGCCACUACCUCCUUGCUCCUGUGCCCUGGAGCCUGCUUUGUAGACACAAGGAAAACAAGUUUGGCUUCCCUGGUCUCCAUUUCCUCAGCAGCCUGACUUCUUUACCAAGCUGAUGUGAACAGAAUGUGACCUGGGAAUGCAGAGGCUUCAUUUGGGGUGGACAGCUGCUGUCUGCUGCCUUGGCAGGGGCUCCUACUCCUAAGUGGGGGCUGAGCCCAUGAGCAGGAGCUCAAGGAGCUGCAGGCCUGAGACCAGACCCGUUUAAUUCUAUCCCACAGAGUCGCUGCCCAACGUGGUGGUGAAUGGUGUGCUCCAGGGCCUCUACAGCUUCAGCAUCAGCCCAGAUAAAGCCCAGCCAGAGGCGGCCUGUCACCCUGCUCCUCUGCCACCGAUGCCCUGAUCAGUCCAGAGGCCUUUAGCUGCCUCCUAAGAAAGUCAUGUGCCUCUGUCCUAUGAGCUCCAUAUAAGGCUAGGUCCUCCUUUGGCCUGGACCCAGGACUUAACUACCCAGUGCCCAGUUGUGCCACAUUCCCACUCAAGGCUCAGAACUUGGCUCGCAUUGGUAGCUGGAGGUGGUAGAAUCUGCACGCUCUUAGAGCCCAACAGCCAAGGCAGGGUCAAGAAGAUAAGUAAUAAAGGAAGAAGUCAGCCAGGUGCGGUGGCUCACGCCUGUAAUCCCAGCACUUUGGGAGGCCAGGGUGGGUGGAUCACCUGAGGUCAGGAGUUCAAGACCAGCCUCACCACCAUGGAGAAACCCCGUCUCUACUAAAAAUACAAAAUUAGCCGGGCAUCGUGGUGGUGCAUGCCUGUA
rnacentral:sRNA from 1 species